rnacentral:rRNA from 1 species
CUGUAAGCCUGCGAAGGUGUACUGUGAGGUAUGCUGGAGGUAUCAGAAGUGCGAAUGCUGACAUAAGUAACGAUAAAGCGGGUGAAAAGCCCGCUCGCCGGAAGACCAAGGGUUCCUGUCCAACGUUAAUCGGGGCAGGGUGAGUCGACCCCUAAGGCGAGGCCGAAAGGCGUAGUCGAUGGGAAACAGGUUAAUAUUCCUGUACUUGGUGUUACUGCGAAGGGGGGACGGAGAAGGCUAUGUUGGCCGGGCGA